UCAGGUCAGAAUGCCACCACCAUCUACUUUAGCACCCUUGUGCAUUAGUAUCACUAUGCCUAAAAUUCUAUAUCUUUUUAGGCCACCAUUUUAGUAAUUUGUGAGGCACUCAACCUUGGGUGUCAUGCAUGUGUAGAAAUGCUCUCUUGUUGAUCACAUGCGCAUGGCCAAAAAUAUGUGGCCGGCCAUGCCAUGGCACACAUGCAUCAUGCCUCUCCAUUUCCCUCUCUCUCACAUAAUUAUUCCACCUUGGGAAGCCUCUCACUUUUUGUCCCUUCCCCAUGCCACUAAUAAUUUCAGCUUUAGUCAAAUUCUUCCCCCACAAGCCAGCCUCCCAACUAACACAAUCAAUGAAGAGGCUACCUCCCAACCAACCCAAUCAAUGAGGAGGCAGCCCACCCCCUCUCCCUCUAUAUAAAGGGGCUUGGCAGCCCACCCCCUCCUCACUUGCUCUCACUUUUCCACUCCCCACUCUCUCCUCCACUCCCACACACUCUCCUCCUACCUCUCCCCACGAAAUUGGUGCUCCUCCUAGCUUCAUGGCCGGCCAUGGCCAUGGAAAGCUCACCAAGAUGCAGCUCCUUCCUCCCUCAAGCUCAUCCUCACCAUGAGAGCCUCCCCCUCCAUCUUCUCCACAACCUUAGAUGGUUUAAUCUCCUCUUCUUCUCCCUCCAUUGCUAAGAUUGGAUCUUGAUGCAGGUGCAUGUUGGUCCAAGCAUGGAGAAGGUUGAGCUAUCCUCAGAUCUGAAGUUCUUGAGCAAAAUCCAAAUCGAGUGGUUCAAAGUUCUGCAGAUAGGUAUUGAAAAUAUCUACAACUUGGCGUUGGUCUCAUCCUCAAAUUCGUUACGGAUUUUGCAUGAUAAAUAAAGUUCUGCAAACAUGCAGAAUCAUUGUUUGUUA